GGCCCUGCACUAUCCACAUAGUACAGUGUGUUCUUGGUGUGUAGAGGGAAGAAUGACCACAGGGAACCCCACACAUCUAUAGGAAACAAUGCUUAUAACAAAUGCAUACUUAAAGUGGAAUUGCUGUACUGGGCUUUCACUUCUGACAAAGCAUUGAGAGUUGGGGUAAAAUGCCCCUAGAAUCUGAAAACAAAUGUCUCUUCUGAGACUCACAUGUCAUAAAGUGAAGAAAUAUUUUCUCUUCUUCGAACUUAUUAUAAGAAUUCUUUACUCAGAAGAGAUUUGGCUUUUUUGGGAAAUUUGCUGUAUAAGACUACUGAGGGGAUAAAAACAAGCUUCUAGGACCUGGGUUUUGGGCUGAUGCCUAGUUCCCAUGAGGAAGAGAAAAACUCUGCCUAAUAAAUGGGAGAAGGAGGAAUUCGAUGUUCCUACAGAGACAAAGCCAGGAGGGAAGAUGAAAGAGCAAGACAAAGGAAGAAGUAUUGUCACUUAUGGAAGGAGAUGGUUAAGGGCUCUGGAGUUGAGAACAAAUCCAAAAAGGGCAAAGAGAAAUGUCUGAUGGUGUUAUGUUUUAUUAUGUUGGGUUUGGAUGAUGCAAGCUUCUCUGCCAUCUCCUUUAUAAAAUUGCUACUGCUAUGGGGUAUGUGGAUUGGGGUGUGGGUGAAUUUUGAAGAGAAGAGGGAGAUCCAAACAGCAGACUGCGCCUGUGUUAUUGAUGGGAGAGGCUCUUUGCCAGAACUCAUUUGGAAUAAGGUGUGUGUGUGUGUGUUUCCCUGGAUUAAGGGAGGGUGAGUGAUGGGAGAGGAUCUUUGCCAGAAGUCAUUUGGAAUAAGGUAGGGGUGUGUGUGAGUGUGUGUGUGUAUGUGUGUGUGUGUUUCCCUGGAUUAAGGGAGGGUGAGUGAAGCCUCAAAAUCCUUUAAGUCUUGGCUGAAUAGGAAAGUUCACACUCGACCAUGUGAACUACAGUGUGGAAACUUAGUAGUACCAGUAUACUUCUCAAUAUUUAGGGGAGGUUGACUAAUUUGUUCAUUGUGGCAGCCUAUAUCAUGAUCCUUUAAAUAAAAUAGGCCCAUGAGGGAGAGAGGAAGGGCUU
rnacentral:lncRNA from 1 species